UGCAUCGGCCGGGAAUCGAACCCGGGCCGCCCGCGUUGAGGCGAGCAUUCUACCACUGAACCACCGAUGC
rnacentral:tRNA from 1 species